CCGCUUCUCUCUCUCUCUCUCUUUCCUGCUCCGCCGCGGUGAGACGUACUUGCUUCUCCUCACCUUCUACCGUGAUUCUGGACUAGACAGAAGACUACAGUUCAAUAAGAAGGAAACACAUUCAUUUUCAGUAUUGUUAAUAAAGAAGCUUACCUAAAAGAAGGAAAUCAAAACAAGAUAAUCUACACUGCAACUAGGGGAGGCUAUUGAAUGUGAUGGUCCCCUCAGAUGCCUAGAGGAAGAUGAACAAUGGUAAUCAGAUAUCCUAAAGUUAUCUUUAGGGCACUGGCAAAAUAGCAGCAAUGCCUGGUGGAAGCUGACUUUGUGCAUACACAUGAGAGCCCACAGAAAACUUCAAACUUCAUGGAAAUAAAACCUUCAGCUGCAGCUAAGAAUUUGGAGGUUACUGAAGGAGGUUACUUUUUCAAGAGCAGAAGUAAGGAUUCCACUGAAUUUGCUCACCAAAGAUAAGUCAGCAAAGAAAACUUACUGAAGAAUACAGGAACAUAAAUCUUAAGCAGGCUUACAUAAGGAAGGGAAGUGGUUGAAUCUGAGACAGCAUAUCAGCUCCUGCUUUCCAGACAAACUUCCUGGGUCUUGGGAAGAAGAAAGCCUCAGACUAAGAACUCUCUCUGGACUCAGACAGCCUGAAUUCAAAUCCCAUCUCUAUUCUUACUAGUCAUAUGAA
rnacentral:lncRNA from 1 species